rnacentral:rRNA from 1 species
UACGGAGGGGGCUAGCGUUGUUCGGAAUUACUGGGCGUAAAGCGCACGUAGGCGGAUUGUUAAGUCAGGGGUGAAAUCCCGGAGCUCAACUCCGGAACUGCCUUUGAUACUGGCAAUCUAGAGUCCGGAAGAGGUGAGUGGAACUCCUAGUGUAGAGGUGGAAUUCGUAGAUAUUAGGAAGAACACCAGUGGCGAAGGCGGCUCACUGGUCCGGUACUGACGCUGAGGUGCGAAAGCGUGGGGAGCAAACAGGG